AAUAAAAAGCCUUCUUAUGGAUCCAUCAUCAUCGCCCAGAGGAAACAGAUCAGAGAUAAUUACGAGAGGCCCUUUUGUUCAAUUUCCAUGUUUCUUCCUUCUCUCCCAUCAUCCCUCACCUCUGUGUCUGUGUUUCGCCCUAGAUUUCAUUUCCUCAAUCUCCCCGAAACUUAGAAUUCUUCGUCUUGCUGAUGAAUAUGGUGAUAUUCUUCUCUCAAUUCUCAAGUUGUUGGUCUGAGAGCUUGAAGCUGCCAGCAUGAUCUGGUAAUUAACCAACCACACUACUUCUAUAUUUAUAUAUAUAAAACAUACCUCUUGUCUAUAUACAUCAAUCAGUAUAUAUAUAUAUAUAGUGAAGAUUCGUUCCACUGGUGGAUUUUAGAGUUUGUAUUAGUCUUGAUUCAGUCCAGAGAUUAAUUUGGCCAUUGAUUUCUGAAAAUAAACGAGCAAUUCUUGUUGUAUAACGAAAAGGGUUAUGUAUAGAUCUCGUUAAUAACCUAGAUUUGGUUCUUUUCUUUUUUCUUUGAGAAGGGGGGAGAGGGGGAAUUUUGAGGGUUAAUUAAUCGAUUUUAGAUUCACUGAAAUUAUAUUUGUCAUUGAGAUUACUGGGAAGGGUAUAGCUUCAAGAAGAGGAGGACACAGUAAUUCAAAAUAUUUGGAAGGAUUUUAAUAAGUCAUUUGUUAUUAUGAAGAAGAAAAGAUAAUUAAAGAAACUUAACGAAAUAAAUUAAACUAAGAAAUGGUUCUGGUGAUGUAUCUCUAAUCUUUAAUUAAAAUAAUUCGGGAAAAAUACUACAUCCACAUCUUCUUUCUCCAUAACCACAAACCGAAUGACUUUUCUGUUUUUUGGCCCUUUGAAGUGAUCCCCAUUGAGAGGCAAGCUAAUUUCACAGAAUUAAUUAGAAUGAAUUAAAUCCUUAUAAAACCUCAAAAGAACAAAUCAAACCAGCUGGUAAUUAUUGAGAUCGAUGAGGUUCUAUCAGGUCAUCUUGCAGCUUCAAUCACUCAAAUACCGACAGAUCCAUUUCUCAACUUUCUGAGUUCUCUGGGAUUGUUCUCAAGCCCUGAAUCCAUUAAUUAUUUCAGGGCCGUCUUCCUUCCCCCCCCCCUCUUAUUACCAGUACAAUUGAUCUGAAACAGACUAAUUAAUUAACACAAUUAAAGACCAGGAGCUUAUCAUCUACGUACGUACCUUGCCUGCAUUAAUGGGACAUGUACUGCCUCAAGCCAACAUGGUGCCAUCUCUGCAAGCUUCUGAUGAAGAUAAGGGAUGAGGAGAAGACAAGAAUACAUAAGCAAAGAGACAAAAGGUAUUGUAAACAUUAGAAAAUAUAUUAAUGUGCCAAGGCCUUCGGUUGACUAGUUACAAUGAAAGAAAUGUAAGAUAACCGACGCCUCGCAAAAUAUUACAGAUUACUUACAUCUUUUCUUUAUCAAAACUAGAAAUUUGAUUAAAUUUGGUUAAAUUUUAAAUUCCAAUAAA